AUGGUUGACUAAAUAUGGUCAGGGAAGAGAGAGGCACAAGAGAGCCUGUUUGCCUGGGAGUGCAUGUUUCAAAUGCUUAGCUGCCUAUAAAGCUGUAACAGUUUUGCUCAUGCCCUCUGAGUGGGAAAUACAGUUAGUUUCUUCUGUAGUGUGCAUGUGGGAGCCCUGACCUCACUCACAGACUUGACCUCUGGAGAUGGAAUGUAGCUUCAACACAGAUCUGCCUACAGUUAAGCCUGGAAACUUAACCUCAAUCAAGAACAAAUGCGGUGCAAUAUCUAAGGAGCUGGAAGAAAUUUUUUUUUUUUUUUUUUUUUUGGGUCACUCCAACUUUUUCUCUGAUUACUUUCAUCUGCCAAUGGGCUGAGUUCACCAUCCCAGGGCUUCCUAGCAUCUUUCCUUGGACACUUAAUUCUUAGCCCAGCAGCCACAAGAUAUUAAUUUCUACGCAACAUCAUCCAUAUUUUAUCAAUCCAAGAAAGGUAGCAGCACCAAGUAAGCUUCACUGUUCACACUAUUUUGCUUUGAAGUUUUAUCUAUUUAAGGUGGUAAGGUACUGUAUUCACUGACACUUCCCCCCUACUCCCCCUCGCAUAUAAUGAAGAGCUGAAUCAGACGAACACUCAAGAUGAGAUGGCUGCUGCUGAUGUAUCUCUCUAGGUCAUUACCUCUCUUCCAACUGCAAAUGCUGCAUGAUACUAAGCUUACAGGAAAGUACUUUGCAAAGCCACCCACCAAUGACAUCUCUACCUUCAAAAUUGGCCAGCCAGAAUGAACACCAAGAGACAACAAAAAUCUGGAUAAGUGCUUCAAAUGUCCAUGUCAUCACGGAACAUGGAACUGUAAAACACUUUAAGUCACUUUGCAGAUAAAGUUCAUUCUCAUCCACUAGUAAGGGAUCAAGAAAAAGAAGAGUCACAAAGUCUAAACACAGUCCAGAAGGAAAGUGUUCUCCUAUAUUUCUUGGACACUGAUAAUGUUCCAGCAUGGUAUUCAGGAUCACUGUCCUGAAGGAGGCUCUGUAUAGUUUGACAUUAGUGGUGAUUAAAGAUGCCAUGGCACAUUUUGUAAGACUAAGUGUUAAAGAUGAAUGAAAUUUCAACUUGGGUAAUUACAUUCUGCCUCUCUAAAUUUCCCUUGCAUUUUAAGUUGCAUACUGUGAUUGUCUUCAACUCGCAUCUUGAAUUGUUGUAUAGCAUUGUAGUGUUGUGUUAGCUGCUGCAUUUCAUUCCAGAGUGUUUUCUUCCAUUGGGAGGAGAAGCUAUUCCUAUUCAUACUGGUUUACAAUCUGCAAACUGCUCUGGGAUCCACCAGAAUGAAAUAUUAUAUAUAACUGUAUGAAACAGUCAAGUAUUUUUAAGUACUUUUAAAUACUAUGUUAAUGAAGUAAGCUAUUAUUUUUUUCCCCCAUUUAAUUUCCAUAGCCAAAAGACUGAACUUAAAGACUACUGAAUUAUUAA